rnacentral:rRNA from 1 species
UACGUAGGGCGCAAGCGUUAUCCGGAAUUAUUGGGCGUAAAGAGCUCGUAGGCGGUUUGUCGCGUCUGCCGUGAAAGUCCGGGGCUCAACUCCGGAUCUGCGGUGGGUACGGGCAGACUAGAGUGAUGUAGGGGAGACUGGAAUUCCUGGUGUAGCGGUGAAAUGCGCAGAUAUCAGGAGGAACACCGGUGGCGAAGGCGGGUCUCUGGGCCGACACUGACACUGAGAGACGAAAGCUAGGGGAGCGAAUGGG